rnacentral:ncRNA from 2 species
GAUGCUCUAACGGGGUGCCAUCGAUUUUCGGUGGCUGAGAGGCGUCUAGCCAACCCGCGGAACCUGAUCCGGUUUGUACCGGCGGAGGGAUUAGACGGCACAAUCCA